GACGAACCGAGCGAACGUUGUUCGGAAUCACUGGGCUUAAAGGGCGCGUAGGCGGGCUGUCAAGUCUGGGGUGAAAUCCCGCGGCUCAACCGUGGAACUGCCUUAGAUACUGACGGCCUCGAGGGAGAUAGGGGCGAGCGGAACUGUGAGUGGAGCGGUGAAAUGCGUUGAUAUUCACAGGAACUCCGGUGGCGAAGGCGGCUCGCUGGAUCUUUUCUGACGCUGAGGCGCGAAAGCUAGGGGAGCAAACAGG
rnacentral:rRNA from 1 species